AUUGAACGCUGGCGGCAGGCCUAACACAUGCAAGUCGAACGGUAACAGGAAACAGCUUGCUGUUUCGCUGACGAGUGGCGGACGGGUGAGUAAUGUCUGGGAAACUGCCUGAUGGAGGGGGAUAACUACUGGAAACGGUAGCUAAUACCGCAUAACGUCGCAAGACCAAAGAGGGGGACCUUCGGGCCUCUUGCCAUCGGAUGUGCCCAGAUGGGAUUAGCUAGUAGGUGGGGUAACGGCUCACCUAGGCGACGAUCCCUAGCUGGUCUGAGAGGAUGACCAGCCCCACUGGAACUGGGACACGGUCCCGACUCCUACGGGAGGCAGCAGUGGGGAAUAUUGCACAAUGGGCGCAAGCCUGAUGCAGCCAUGCCGCGUGUAUGAAGAAGGCCUUCGGGUUGUAAAGUACUUUCAGCGGGGAGGAAGGGAGUAAAGUUAAUACCUUUACUCAUUGACGUUACCCGCAGAAGAAGCACCGGCUAACUCCGUG
rnacentral:rRNA from 1 species